GCUGCACUUGGCCACGUGAUGUCCUGGGGGUGGACCAUACCUCACGCGGUGCUCGCUAUUGGCUGUGCUUUCGCAGCCCCUCUGCAGGUAACGCGGGAGACGGUGAGUGGGCGCCGAGCACCAGCCUGCCAGAGCUGCCUCAAUGUCAACAUUCUUUCAGGAAGCACACCCACAGUCAAUUGUAUCACCUCGCUGUCGGUAACGUGACACACCCAGGAAUUUCGGGUGAAGUUUCAGUCGUAUCGGAUGAGGGCACUGCUGGCUGGGAGAGAUGGUGAAACGGGAUCAGGAACACCAAAGUCGGACACCAGACUCCUGGAAUGUUAGCAUUGCUGACUCGCCCUAGUUGCCCUGGAGAAGUGGUGGUGAGCUGUCUUCAUCAGAGGCUGCCCAGAGGACAUUCCCAAGCAUGGCAACAAACGUCUGCGAAACAAGAAACCAGCUCAGUGUGCCAACCGACCUCAUAACUUCUUACUUACUUAUCAUAUAAUGCCAUUGUUAAUCAAAUUUCUGCCUUGGGUACUGCUGAAACAUUAUUAUUAUUAAAGUGACACAAUUUCCUAUGAUUGAUAAACAUGAAAUCAUGAGUAUAAUUAGUUUUUGGUUUGAUUUUAUUAAGUAUUGACCUUCAAAAAUUUUGUCCAGUAGGCAAAAUCAUUUUUACACAGAACAUUUAUUUAAAAUACACAAAUUCAACAUUUAAACUUAAUCUCUAGAACUCAAUCUUUCAGCAUUUAAAGUUUUUAAAAAGUCUUCUGUUCAUGACAAAUGUUUCAUUUUGUCUUUAUGUAUAAAAAAUGAUUAAUGUGUUUUAUGUUCCAUUAGUCAAAUCAUUUCCAGCAAUUCAACUUUUCAGUUUUUAUGUAUCAAUUUUAACAGCAUAGAUACCAGCCUUCAUCACAAACACUUACAAAUAUCGUCAGGCAACUGCAGUUUGUAACCUGAAAAUUGAAGGAACCAAGUGGACCAGCAGUGAACUGUACAAUCUCAAAAUACUCAGGUUUAUGAAGCAAUGUCAUGUGACUCUAAUCACAAUGUGGAUCCAAAUUAGUUGCAUCAAAACCCAGCUAAUAGCGGUUAUUCAAAUUGUCAACCAGGUCUAUGAAUGUGUGUGUACACAAAUGCAUGUGUGCACGUGUUUGCACCAUGCAUGGAGCCAGAAACUAGCUGGCAGUGAUGAGUGACAUUAGUAAUUCAUUUCAAGAAUCAUUCAACCUGGAAGUAAGCAAUGUCAUUUUUUGGUAAAGACAACUGUUCAAUUAUUAAAAGGGUAAGCACUAGAAACUAUUUAAUGUAAUAUUAAAUAUUUACAGUAUCUCAUGUUUUAAAUCUUCAUAACUAAUUAUA